CCUACGGGAGGCAGCAGUGGGGAAUAUUGCGCAAUGGGCGAAAGCCUGACGCAGCGACGCCGCGUGAGGGAUGAAGGUCUUCGGAUCGUAAACCUCUGUCAGCAGGGAAGAACGGUCACUGUGCUAAUCAGCAGUGAAUUGACGGUACCUGCAAAGGAAGCACCGGCUAACGCCGUGCCAGCAGCCGCGGUAAUACGGAGGGUGCGAGCGUUAAUCGGAAUUACUGGGCGGAAAGCGCUCGUAGGCGGUAUGUCAAGUCAAGGGUGAAAUCCCCGCGCGCAACGUGUGAACUGCCUUUGAAACGGGCAAACUGGAGUGUGUGAGAGGAUAGUGGAAGUCCAGGUGUAGGAGUGAAAUCCGUAGAUAUCUGGAGGAACAUCAGUGGCGAAGGCGACUAUCUGGCACAUAACUGACGCUGAGGAGCGAAAGCGUGGGUAGCAAACAGGAGUAGAUACCCGGGUAGUC
rnacentral:rRNA from 1 species